rnacentral:rRNA from 1 species
AUACAUAGGGGGCGAGCGUUGUUCGGAAUCAUUGGGCGUAAAGGGCGUGCAGGCGGUCCUGCAAGUCCGGCGUGAAAGACCCCGGCCCAACCGGGGGGACGCGCUGGAAACUGCGGGGCUUGAGUACAGGAGGGGAUGCCGGAAUUCCAGGUGUAGGGGUGAAAUCUGUAGAUAUCUGGAAGAACACCAAUGGCGAAGGCAGGCAUCUGGCCAUGUACUGACGCUGAGACGCGAAGGUGCGGGGAGCAAACAGGUUUAGAUACCCUGGUAGUCCGCACAGUAAACGAUGUGCACCAGGUGGCGGGGGGUCGACCCUCGGUACCGUAGCUAACGCAUUAAGUGCACCGCCUGGGGAGUAUGCUCGCAAGGGUGAAACUCAAAUGAAUUGACGGGG